UCGUUAAAUGUCUUCUCUUUCCUU
rnacentral:sRNA from 1 species